UACGAAGGUGGCUAGCGUUGUUCGGAUUUACUGGGCGUAAAGGGAGCGUAGGCGGUUUUUCAAGUCAGGCGUGAAAGCCCGAGGCUUAACCUCGGAAUUGCGCUUGGAACUGAUUGACUGGAGUAUGGGAGAGGAUAGCGGAAUUCCUAGUGUAGAGGUGAAAUUCGUAGAUAUUAGGAAGAACACCGGUGGCGAAGGCGGCUAUCUGGACCAUAACUGACGCUGAAGCUCGAAAGCAUGGGGAUCAAACAGG
rnacentral:rRNA from 1 species